AUUGCUUCUUGGCCUUUUGGCUAAGACCAAGUGUAGUAUCUCUUCUUCUCAGUUCAAUACUUGAUAUGGCUCCUAUCCAAAGAAAACAUGUGAAGUGGACUUUUGAGAAACACUAUUUGGUUUCAUUUAUACUGACAGUUUAUCUUAGUUCAUUGAAAGGAAAUGUUAUGAUCUGUU
rfam:Cavia porcellus supercont2_30 genomic scaffold, whole genome shotgun sequence.